rnacentral:rRNA from 1 species
CCCUUAGAUGUUCUGGGCCGCACGCGCGCUACACUGAUGCAUGCAACAAGUCUUUUCCUUGGCCGAAAGGCCUGGGCAAUCUUUGAAUAUGCAUCGUGAUGGGGAUAGACGAUUGCAAUUAUUCGUCUUCAACGAGGAAUUCCUAGUAAACGCAAGUCAUCAGCUUGCAUUGAUUACGUCCCUGCCCUUUGUACACACCGCCCGUCGCACCUACCGAUUGAAUGGUCCGGUGAAGGCUUCGGAGGCGGCUUUCUCAAUGUUUAUUCGGCGAGACUGCUGCCAAAGUUGAAUGAACCUUACCAUUUAGAGGAAGGUGAANUCGUAACA